UACGUAGGGUGCGAGCGUUGUCCGGAAUUAUUGGGCGUAAAGGGCUCGUAGGCGGUUUGUCGCGUCGGGAGUGAAAACUCAGGGCUUAACCCUGAGCCUGCUUCCGAUACGGGCAGACUAGAGGUAUGCAGGGGGAGAACGGAAUUCCUGGUGUAGCGGUGAAAAUGCGCAGAUAUCAGGAGGAACACCGGUGGCGAAGGCGGUUCUCUGGGCAUUACCUGACGCUGAGGAGCGAAAGUGUGGGGAGCGAAACAGG
rnacentral:rRNA from 1 species